rnacentral:misc_RNA from 1 species
UGCAACGUAUCAGAGUCAAGAGAGUGGGGAGUCUCACAAUGAUGAACCGGACGAGAGAUAAAAACUUUCCGCUACAGUAACGAGAGUGAUUUUGCCACUCCAACAUGUGGAUAAUAUGGCUGGCCUGUUUAUAUUAUUUAUCAAACAAUGUGACCGCCGUUCACAGUUAUGAAAGGAUAAAACAUGACGCAUUCCAGCACACUUUGGGUCACCUUAAACCCCGCGCACAGCCAGAUGUACAGGCUGAAGCGGCGAGGGAAGUAUUGCGGAGACUGUUAGGAGACUCGUACAAAUUAUUCCCAGUUUCUGUCGAUUCCAGUAUUGGACCUGUCGGAAAAGACACUUUUCAUGUAUUCAAGAGUACGCUGGGUCAAAUCAUGAUUAUUGGAACAUCUGGAGUCGCUGUGGUUUGGGGUUUCCACUACUAUGUAAAGAAUUUUUGUGAUGCUCACAUUGCGUGGGAAGAAUCCCACAUCGAGUUGCCAAACCAUCUUCCCGACGUAGACAUCAAAAUUACUUCCAACGAUCGGUUCCGCUACUACCAAAACGUAUGUACAGCCGGCUAUAGCACCGCAUGGUGGGAUUGGCCCAAAUGGGAGAAACACAUCGACUGGAUGGCUUUGAAUGGGAUAAACCUGGCACUCGCUUUUCACGCUCAAGAAGCGAUCUGGGAACGAGUUUACACUAAGUUGAACCUAACGAGACAUGAUAUCGACGAACAUUUUGGGGGACCGGCGUUUCUCCCCUGGGCCAGAAUGGGAAACAUACGUGGCUGGGGUGGACCGCUGACUUCUGCGUGGCACAACCAUACAGUCAAGCUUCAGCACAAGAUUUUAAACAGAAUGAGAGAACUUGGAAUCAUUCCCGUAUUACCCGCCUUCUCAGGACAAGUGCCGAGAGCAUUUAGCACACUCUUUCCUACUGCAAAUUUGACUAAGUUUGAGCCAUGGAAUAGAUUCAGCGAGAAAUACUGUUGUCCGUUUUUACUACUACCAACUGAUCCACUAUUCAAAACGGUCGGAACGAUGUUCUUAUCUGAGUACAUUCAAGAAUUCAGUACGGAUCACGUCUAUAACUGCGAUACCUUUAACGAGAACGAGCCGCCACAAAGUGAUCUUGAUUUUCUGAGUGGAAUCAGUCGCUCAAUUUACUCAGCCAUUACUGACGUCGAUCCGGAAGGCAUAUGGAUCUUACAAGGUUGGUUAUUCUUGCACGAAUUAUCUUUUUGGACAAAUGCAAGAGUAGAAGCUUUCUUAACGGCUGUUCCUAUAGGAAAGUUGAUAGUGCUGGAUCUUCAGUCGGAACAAUUUCCGCAGUACGAAAGACUGAGUUCAUAUUACGGGCAACCGUUCAUUUGGUGUAUGCUUCACAAUUUUGGUGGAACUCUUGGGCUUUUUGGAUCCGCUGAGAUAAUUAAUAAGCGAGUAUUCGAAGGCAGAAAUAUGAAGAACAGUACGAUGAUCGGAACAGGACUGGCACCGGAAGGCAUUAACCAAAACUAUGUCGUGUACGAUUUAAUGAACGAAAUGGCUUAUCUUCGCAACCCUGCUGAUCUUGAUGCUUGGUUUGAGAGGUACGCUGCCAGAAGGUACGGUGCUUGGAACGAAUAUGCGGUGCAGGCAUGGCAGAAAUUAAGGCUAUCAGUCUACAGUUUUACUGGUCUGGAAAGAAUCCGUGGGAAAUACACGAUCACGAGACGCCCAAGUCUUAAAAUUAACCCUUGGGUUGGUAGAAGAGCCGGCUUGCUGACAUGGUACGAUACUGAAAUAAUGUUAUCUGCAUGGGAUGACAUAGUGAAAGCUAGACACGGUCGGAGAAAUAAUACUUUCUAUCAACACGACGUAGUCGAUAUAACUAGGCAGGCACUGCAACUCACCGCGAACACAUUGUACCUGAACAUAAAAACUGCUGUGAAUCACAAGAAUAUCUCUCAGUUGCGGGAAAACGCGAAGCUAUUCACUGAACUUUAUGACGAUCUGGAAAGAAUAUUGGCAUCGAAUAAGGACUUCUUGUUGGGUACAUGGCUUCAGGAUGCAAAGUCUUUAGCAACUGAUGAAAAGGAGAAAAAACUGUACGAGUUCAAUGCUAGAAAUCAGAUCACUCUCUGGGGUCCGAGAGGCGAAAUUCGAGAUUACGCAAACAAACAGUGGUCAGGAGUUGUUGCUGAUUACUAUAAACCUAGAUGGGUUGUUUUGCUAGACGAACUGGAAAAUUCUCUGGCCAAUGGGACACCACUGAAUUCAACCGCGGUCGAUUUCAAGAUAUUCAAUCAUGUUGAGCAGCCGUUUACAUUAUCCAACAAAAUUUACCCAGUGACUGCGAAUGGAGACAGUGUUGAGAUUGCUGUAGAAUUGAAUAAGAAAUGGAGAAAAAUAAAACCGUCAUCAAAGAUAAGAAUCACCGGGAAACGCAAUUUUGGGGUAUUAUAAUAGUAGCAAUGCAAAAUUAUAUGUGUAUAAUCUUUCACUAUGUUGGAUUCGGUGUAUGAAAUAACACCAUAUUGGAUCGUAGAGCGCGCAACAGGGUAAAGAUUAUGAAGAGUAUGAAAUUAAUGGUAGCAUGGAGGAAUUGAGUCUUACACAUUAUAGGUACAUGCAGUAAGUUUUUUUACACAACAAAGGUUUAUUUAAUAUUAGGUAUAUAUUCCGGGUACACACAAUAAAUGUCAUGACAUUUGAAACAACAGAAUACACAUGCAUAUAAAUGUUACGUCUUAUGAUUAUAUCCAAGUCACAGAAUGUAAAGGCCGCGAAGAAAUCAUCACUGAUGUACAACAUACAAUAUACCUUGGAGGUCUAAAUGCCACAUGUAGUUUGACAAUCAUGAACGAAAACUUAAAUCCAAAUUAAAAUAAAAGUGUUUCCUCGGU